GGCCUCGUAGCUCAGCUGGUAGAGCAUGCGCGUACAAAGCGUAGGCGGUGUCCAUGCGUGGGUUCGAAUCCCACCGAGGCGA
rnacentral:tRNA from 1 species